rnacentral:lncRNA from 1 species
CCCACUAUCUCUCUUGAAACUUAUUUCAAUUGUGUUAUACACAUCAAACAUUUUGGAGAGCAUGUGUUUAUUGUACACUACAUAGUUUACAAUAAACUUAGUGAACGAUUAGGAUAGGGACACAAAGGUGAAGUCCUUGCCUAGUUCCCGUCUCUAGAAGUGUUCUAACACUUCAACACUCAAUGAUUCAAAAUCAUCAUAAGUCCAUGCUGAUGCACUAUUUUUGUCAACCAACCAUUAUGUUCUAAACAUAAUUACAAACUUUCAAGAGUUAUUCAAAGCAACUCUCAUUUCUUCAUACAACAAUUUGUAAGUGAAGAAUCAUGGCACAUAAAGUGUCCAUGCCUUUGUGCUUUCUUCUCAAGUUCUUUGUUCAUUUAACAAAGAAACAAGCACUAGUGUUUGCAUUGACUAAGGGUUGUUCAAAGCAACUAUUAUUUCUUCAUACAACGAUUUGUAAGUGAAGAACUAAUAACACUAAAAGUGUCCUUGUCAUUAUGCUAAUCUUCGUAAGUUCCUUUGUUCAUAUAACGAAGGAAUAAGCAUUGGUGGUUUGUGUUGUUCUCUUCAUGAUAGACUUUUCUAACAUGUUCUUCCAAUGAUACAUUAUCAUUAGGAAGAUUGUGAGGAUGAGACUACUUAGGUACAUAUGCAAUCCUUUCUAAGACAUUCUUUGGGAUUGUGGUACCAAGUCCGGAAACUAAAACAUUCGGUUUUUAUUUGUCAAGUGU